ACCAAGUGGAGUUUUGUACUACAUCAAAUAGUCAUUGCGUAGUUUCUUUGGCAAUUCUUUGUGUGUUUUGCCAAUGAAACAGCAGCAGAAUGUGUUGGGUUUGCAAUAGCUGUAACCUCAAACAGCUCUGUCACAGAGAGUGAACAGUAAACAGUGAGGCUGUUAUCAAUUACAUAAAAUUACACUGGAUUAUAUGCUCCAUUGCUAACUGCAAAUCACCCAAGCAAUCUAAAGUAAGUGUGGCAAAAGUGGACUCUAAAUACUAACAAACUCAAACAACAAAAACAAAAAGUAAAAUAAAAAUAUAUUAAUAGAUGUGCAGUUGCACAAAAAAAGAAAAAAAAAAUCCUGUGGAUUACAAUUUUUGAAUUAAUUACUUAAAUUGACGUUUGAUCGUCAUAGUCAUAACUGUAAUCAAAUACAUUAUGGUUUAACUACAAACAUACUUUUUUAGGCCAUUGUAAAAACCUUGGCUAGUAGGGUUUGGCUCGAGUGCAACAUCCCAAAAAAAAUUUAAAAUGGUGACAGAAGUAAUUUUAAAAACGAUAAAAAAAUAAAAAAAAUAAAUUAGGGUACUUACUACCAAAUAUUUGCCUGCUUGUGUGCUGCUGUGUCAGAUAUACCAGAAUCUGUCUUGAUUUAAACAAGCCACAAAUGCAACCAUCAGUAACUGAAAUACUCUUUCUACCACCCAUCUCUACUAUCUAUUCUCUUUGCCCAGGUACACUAGAUUUCAAAUUAAAAUGAGAAAGCCCGCUGGGUCUCUAGCCUAAAUAUUUGACCCAUUUACUUCAUGAACCAGUUACCGUCACAACCUAUGUGGGAGGCUUUCUCAACAUAACGGCCUAUUUGUGUUGGUGAGAAAAUCCCUUCAGUGUUUUUCCCCAUGAAUCUUGGUAGACAUAAUUUAAAGAGUUUAAAUUAGGCCUGUUAACAUUUGGUAAAGCCAAAAAGAAGAAUUACACCUACACUCACCGAUAGAAUGAGUGAGUGUAGGUGUAUUAUUAGAGUAAACAAAGCUCUUCAGUUAAUUGAAAUAAAAAAAUGAAAAUGAAUGAAAAAACCAAUAAAAAUAAAGCUACUUUCAGCAGUUGCCUUAUUCACAAGGAGUCACCACAGAGGUAGCAUUACAUAUUUAAACUGAAUCAAGCAAUCAACCCACCCUUGAAAUCAACUAAAACUAAAGUGUAUUGAAAAUUAAAGCUAAAAAACAACAAUAAUAAUAAACAUAACUCUGGAUCCAAUAUGCAUAUUUAUGGUACGUUUCAAAAAAUAUACAUCAGCCACCUCACAUAAUUAAAAUAUAGUUCUUUUUAAUGUGAUUUAAAAUAUUUCUGUCUUAUUUACUUUUCAUAUUCCAUUGAAAUCUAGUCAUCAAAAUGUUGCAAUUCAGAAAAUGCAUUGUAAAAAGAGUAUCAUGAGCUAGAGCUUCAAUGUGCACAUUUUCAUUCAGUAAUUUGUUC
ensembl:lncRNA